GCCUUCCCUGCCCAGUCCCCACAGGACCUCACCUAGGGUGGAGGAGAGCAACAGCAAGCUCCUGGAGUCAGAGAGGAAGCUGCAGGAGGAGCGACACCGCACCGUGGUGCUGGAGCAACAUCUGGAGAAGAUACGCCUGGAGCCAGGGAAGGCAUCAGCCUCCCAGAGAGCAGCUCCCAGGACCAAAACAGCUCCGCUCCUGGAUGUAUGCUGUGUACGGGGCCUUGGCUGUGAUGGGCACAAUGGGCCCUUGGUACCUGCUGCUGCUGCUUGGUCACUGUGUGGGCCUCUAUGUGGCCUCGCUUUUGGGCCAGCCCUGGCUCUGUCUUGGCCUUGGCUUGGCCAGCCUGGCCUCCUUCAAGAUGGACCCCCUAAUCUCUUGGCAG
rnacentral:lncRNA from 1 species